rnacentral:lncRNA from 1 species
UGUGGCCAAUGAAUGAAUAUGUUUCAUGAAGUGUACAUAGUUCGAGAGAAGAUUGUGCAUUUUAGACCAAAUGGUAGAAAUCCUAGGUUUGUGUAGAGGAUAAAUAUAUACCUCUAGUCCUAGGUGACCCAAUGAGCUAUUUUCAUAACAAUUUAAUGUGAUUGUUUGGCUGUAAUCGACAUAGAGAUAUAGUAUGUUAAACCAAUCAAUUAGGGUUAAUUUCACUCGAGAGAGAUAAUUAGCUAAAAUUGAAAAAU